GUCAAUUGUUCGUGUAGAAGCGGACAAGGUUCGUGCAAAGGUUUCAAUCGAGCAAAAUGGGAUCAUUAUGGUCACUUUCUCGCGAGAAGAAUCAGUGCCCUUGGUUUCAAGUUCGAAAAUUUAGUUUUAUCUUCUUUAGUGCCAGUGAAGACGGAUCCGGAGAAACUAGACACAGUUUUGUGGCGCAGGUUUAGGGUUAUGAGUAUUUCAUCGCCAUGCUUUUAUUAAAAGCUGUUCAAAAAUCUUUUAGACAUCGAACAGAAAUAUAAAUGCAUGCAUCGAGAGCCGACCAACAAAUAUAAGGGAACGAGGUGACGAGACGGGAUUAUUCCAAUUCCAACGUGAGAAAAGCGCUGUAAGAAUACAAUCAUCCCUCAUGAAUAAAACAACAGAUUUGAAAGAAUUGGAUCACCCUUGGAAGUUAAAACGUCAUAGAAAACACCAUGAAAAGUUGACUUUUCAUUCAUCUCCCCUCUGAAACCUCAUUGGAAUCGGAUUAGCUAAGUGUAAAGCUCGGUAUACUUGGUCUGACUGAACUUCAGACUUAACUCUGUCAACUAGCAAGAGGGUCGCAAUGUAGGGGAUGGAGUGAUGACAGGCGGGAUCGAGGGCUUUUUGAGAAGAACAACGCCAACUGAACUGCCCUAAAUCCUGCGAAAUUAUACCAAUUGAUGACGUAAGUAUUUUUGUGUUCAAUUAAACAACUUUUACUGCUGGA